rnacentral:rRNA from 1 species
UACAGAGGGGGCAAGCGUUGUUCGGAAUUACUGGGCGUAAAGGGCGCGUAGGCGGCCUGUUAAGUCGAACGUGAAAUCCCCGGGCUCAACCCGGGAACUGCGUCCGAUACUGGCAGGCUUGAAUCCGGGAGAGGGAUGCGGAAUUCCAGGUGUAGCGGUGAAAUGCGUAGAUAUCUGGAGGAACACCGGUGGCGAAGGCGGCAUCCUGGACCAAUAUUGACGCUGAGGAGCGAAAGCUAGGGGAGCAAACGGG